rnacentral:rRNA from 1 species
CAAUAGCGUAUAUUAAAGUUGUUGCAGUUAAAAAGCUCGUAGUUGGAUUUCUGUUGAUAGCUCUCGGCCGGCUCAAAGAGUUUGUGCUGAAUGGCUUAUCGACAUCCUUGGCGGGAGGCUUUCUGGCAUUAAGUUGUCGGGAUUCGGAUCGUCAUCGUUUACUGUGAAAAAUUAGAGUGUUCAAAGCAGGCUUACGCCGUUGAAUACAUUAGCAUGGAAUAAUAAGAUAGGACCCUGGUACUAUUUUGUUGGUUUGCGUACCUAGGUAAUGAUUAAUAGGGACAGUUGGGGGUAGUUUGUAUUCCGUUGUCAGAGGUGAAAUUCUUGGAUUUACGGAAGACAAACUACUGCGAAAGCAUUUACCAAGGAUGUUUUCUAUUAAUCAAGAACGAAAGUUAAGGGGAGUCGAAGAUGAUUAGAUACCAU